rnacentral:rRNA from 1 species
AGAUUGAACGCUGGCGGCAUGCUUUACACAUGCAAGUCGAGCGGCAGCGCGGGGGCAACCCUGGCGGCGAGCGGCGAACGGGUGAGGAAUACAUCGGAACGUGCCCCGGAGUGGGGGAUAACCCAGCGAAAGUUGGACUAAUACCGCAUAUGCUCUGAGGAGGAAAGCAGGGGACUUCGCAAGAGGCCUUGCGCUCUGGGAGCGGCCGAUGUCCGAUUAGCUAGUUGGUGGGGUAAUGGCUCACCAAGGCGACGAUCGGUAGCUGGUCUGAGAGGAUGAUCAGCCACACUGGGACUGAGACACGGCCCAGACUCCUACGGGAGGCAGCAGUGGGGAAUUUUGGACAAGUGGGGGCAACCCUGGAUCAG